GGCUCGUUGGUCAAGAGGUCAAGACGCCGCCCUCUCACGGCGGAAACAGGGGUUCGAUUCCCCUACGGGCUG
rnacentral:tRNA from 1 species